UCAGCAACCCCUCCCAAACAAAACAAACGUAAAGAGUAGAAAGCAACAGCCAGCAGGGGUCGCUCUGCCAUGAUCACAUCUCAGUCUAUUCCCUGACGGAGACUGGUCCUCACCUGGUACGGGAUAACAGUCUGUCAACUGGUACCAGUCUGGACGAAGAGGACGAGAAGGGGUCUGUAGAGGAGGGGGGUUAUAGGUGUCUGUAGUAGAGGAGGAGGAGGGGUUAUAGGUGUCUGUAGUAGAGGAGGGGGGUUAUAGGUGUCUGUAGUAGAGGAGGAGGAGGGUUAUAGGUGUCUGUAGUAGAGGAGGAGGGUUAUAGGUGUCUGUAGUAGAGGAGGGGGGUUAUAGGUGUCUGUAGUAGAGGAGGAGGGGUUAUAGGUGUCUGUAGUAGAGGAGGAGGAGGGUUAUAGGUGUCUGUAGUAGAGGAGGAGGAGGGUUAUAGGUGUCUGUAGUAGAGGAGGAGGGUUAUAGGUGUCUGUAGUAGAGGAGGAGGAGGGUUAUAGGUGUCUGUAGUAGAGGAGGAGGGUUAUAGGUGUCUGUAGUAGAGGAGGAGGGGUUAUAGGUGUCUGUAGUAGAGGAGGAGGGUUAUAGGUGUCUGUAGUAGAGGAGGGGGGUUAUAGGUGUCUGUAGUAGAGGAGGAGGGGUUAUAGGUGUCUGUAGUAGAGGAGGAGGAGGGGUUAUAGGUGUCUGUAGUAGAGGAGGAGGGUUAUAGGUGUCUGUAGUAGAGGAGGAGGGGGGUUAUAGGUGUCUGUAGUAGAGGAGGAGGGGGGUUAUAGGUGUCUGUAGUAGAGGAGGAGGGGGGUUAUAGGUGUCUGUAGUAGAGGAGGAGGGUUAUAGGUGUCUGUAGUAGAGGAGGAGGAGGGUUAUAGGUGUCUGUAGUAGAGGAGGAGGAGGGUUAUAGGUGUCUGUAGUAGAGGAGGAGGGUUAUAGGUGUCUGUAGUAGAGGAGGAGGAGGGUUAUAGGUGUCUGUAGUAGAGGAGGAGGAGGGUUAUAGGUGUCUGUAGUAGAGGAGGAGGGUUAUAGGUGUCUGUAGUAGAGGAGGAGGAGGGUUAUAGGUGUCUGUAGUAGAGGAGGAGGGGUUAUAGGUGUCUGUAGUAGAGGAGGAGGGGGGUUAUAGGUGUCUGUAGUAGAGGAGGAGGGGGGUUAUAGGUGUCUGUAGUAGAGGAGGAGGGUUAUAGGUGUCUGUAGUAGAGGAGGAGGAGGGUUAUAGGUGUCUGUAGUAGAGGAGGAGGAGGGUUAUAGGUGUCUGUAGUAGAGGAGGAGGGUUAUAGGUGUCUGUAGUAGAGGAGGAGGGGGGUUAUAGGUGUCUGUAGUAGAGGAGGAGGAGGGUUAUAGGUGUCUGUAGUAGAGGAGGAGGGUUAUAGGUGUCUGUAGUAGAGGAGGAGGAGGGUUAUAGGUGUCUGUAGUAGAGGAGGAGGGGGGUUAUAGGUGUCUGUAGUAGAGGAGGAGGAGGGUUAUAGGUGUCUGUAGUAGAGGAGGAGGGUUAUAGGUGUCUGUAGUAGAGGAGGGUUAUAGGUGUCUGUAGUAGAGGAGGAGGAGGGGUUAUAGGUGUCUGUAGUAGAGGAGGGGGGUUAUAGGUGUCUGUAGUAGAGGAGGAGGAGGGUUAUAGGUGUCUGUAGUAGAGGAGGAGGGUUAUAGGUGUCUGUAGUAGAGGAGGAGGGGUUAUAGGUGUCUGUAGUAGAGGAGGAGGAGGGGUUAUAGGUGUCUGUAGUAGAGGAGGAGGGUUAUAGGUGUCUGUAGUAGAGGAGGAGGGUUAUAGGUGUCUGUAGUAGAGGAGGAGGAGGGUUACAGGUGUCUGUAGUAGAGGAGGAGGAGGGUUAUAGGUGUCUGUAGUAGAGGAGGGGGGUUAUAGGUGUCUGUAGUAGAGGAGGGGGGUUAUAGGUGUCUGUAGUAGAGGAGGAGGGUUAUAGGUGUCUGUAGUAGAGGAGGGGGGUUAUAGGUGUCUGUAGUAGAGGAGGAGGAGGGUUACAGGUGUCUGUAGUAGAGGAGGAGGGUUAUAGGUGUCUGUAGUAGAGGAGGAGGAGGGGUUAUAGGUGUCUGUAGUAGAGGAGGAGGAGGGUUACAGGUGUCUGUAGUAGAGGAGGAGGGGGGUUAUAGGUGUCUGUAGUAGAGGAGGAGGAGGGUUAUAGGUGUCUGUAGUAGAGGAGGAGGGUUAUAGGUGUCUGUAGUAGAGGAGGAGGAGGGUUAUAGGUGUCUGUAGUAGAGGAGGAGGGGGGUUAUAGGUGUCUGUAGUAGAGGAGGAGGGUUAUAGGUGUCUGUAGUAGAGGAGUAGGAGGGUUAUAGGUGUCUGUAGUAGAGGAGGAGGAGGGUUAUAGGUGUCUGUAGUAGAGGAGGAGGGGGGGUUAUAGGUGUCUGUAGUAGAGGAGGAGGGGGGGGUUAUAGGUGUCUGUAGUAGAGGAGGAGGAGGGGUUAUAGGUGUCUGUAGUAGAGGAGGAGGAGGGGUUAUAGGUGUCUGUAGUAGAGGAGGGGGGUUAUAGGUGUCUGUAGUAGAGGAGGAGGAGGGUUAUAGGUGUCUGUAGUAGAGGAGGAGGAGGGUUAUAGGUGUCUGUAGUAGAGGAGGAGGGGGGUUAUAGGUGUCUGUAGUAGAGGAGGAGGGGUUAUAGGUGUCUGUAGUAGAGGAGGAGGAGGGUUAUAGGUGUCUGUAGUAGAGGAGGAGGGUUAUAGGUGUCUGUAGUAGAGGAGGAGGAGGGUUAUAGGUGUCUGUAGUAGAGGAGGAGGGGGGUUAUAGGUGUCUGUAGUAGAGGAGGAGGGGGGUUAUAGGUGUCUGUAGUAGAGGAGGAGGAGGGGUUAUAGGUGUCUGUAGUAGAGGAGGAGGAGGGUUAUAGGUGUCUGUAGUAGAGGAGGAGGAGGGUUAUAGGUGUCUGUAGUAGAGGAGGAGGGGGGUUAUAGGUGUCUGUAGUAGAGGAGGAGGAGGGUUAUAGGUGUCUGUAGUAGAGGAGGAGGAGGGGUUAUAGGUGUCUGUAGUAGAGGAGGAGGGGGGGUUAUAGGUGUCUGUAGUAGAGGAGGAGGGUUAUAGGUGUCUGUAGUAGAGGAGGGGGGUUAUAGGUGUCUGUAGUAGAGGAGGAGGAGGGUUAUAGGUGUCUGUAGUAGAGGAGGAGGAGGGUUAUAGGUGUCUGUAGUAGAGGAGGAGGAGGGUUAUAGGUGUCUGUAGUAGAGGAGGAGGAGGGUUAUAGGUGUCUGUAGUAGAGGAGGAGGGGGGUUAUAGGUGUCUGUAGUAGAGGAGGAGGGUUAUAGGUGUCUGUAGUAGAGGAGGGGGGUUAUAGGUGUCUGUAGUAGAGGAGGAGGGUUAUAGGUGUCUGUAGUAGAGGAGGGGGGGUUAUAGGUGUC